rnacentral:tRNA from 1 species
GGGGAUUUAGCUCAGUGGUAGAGCGCUUGCCUAGCAAGCUCAAGUCCCUGGGUUCGGUCCCCAGCUCCG